rnacentral:rRNA from 1 species
UACGUAGGGUGCGAGCGUUAAUCGGAAUUACUGGGCGUAAAGCGGGCGCAGACGGUUACUUAAGCAGGAUGUGAAAUCCCCGGGCUCAACCUGGGAAUUGCGUUCUGAACUGGGUGGCUAGAGUGUGUCAGAGGGGGGUAGAAUUCCACGUGUAGCAGUGAAAUGCGUAGAGAUGUGGAGGAAUACCGAUGGCGAAGGCAGCCCCCUGGGAUAGCACUGACGUUCAUGCCCGAAAGCGUGGGUAGCAAACAGG